UAUGGAGGUCUGUACGGAGGCAUGGGAGGUCUAUACGGAGGCGUGGGAGGUCUAUACGGAGGCAUGGGAGGUCUAUACGGAGGCGUGGGAGGUCUAUACGGAGGCAUGGGAGGUCUGUACGGAGGACUUGGAGGCUAUGGUGGUCUCUACGGCGGAAUUGGAGGAUACGGAAUUGGAUUGGGAAAAGGUAUCGGCUAUUAUUGAGUUAUUAUCACCUGCAAUGUGAUGCUGGGUAUUUAUGUAUAUUCUCAAACCAAUGGAAUUGGUUCAAUAAAAUCUUGUCAUAUUUA